rnacentral:rRNA from 1 species
UGGUGGAGUGAUUUGUCUGGUUAAUUCCGUUAACGAACGAGACCUCGACCUGCUAAAUAGUUCGGCGAAUUCUUCGGGAUUCGUACGUGACUUCUUAGAGGGACUAUCGGUGUGUAGCCGAUGGAAGUUCGAGGCAAUAACA